rnacentral:rRNA from 1 species
CCUCGGGAGGCAGCAGUGGGGAAUUUUCCGCAAUGGGCGAAAGCCUGACGGAGCAAUACCGCGUGAGGGAAGACGGCCUAUGGGUUGUAAACCUCUUUUCUCAGGGAGGAACUCAAUGACGCUACCUGAGGAAUAAGCAUCGGCUAACUCCGUGCCAGCAGCCGCGGUAAGACGGAGGAUGCAAGUGUUAUCCGGAAUCACUGGGCGUAAAGCGUCUGUAGGUGGCUUAACAAGUCAACUGUUAAAUCUUGAAGCUCAACUUCGAAAUCGCAGUCGAAACUGUUAGGCUAGAGUAUAGUAGGGGUAAAGGGAAUUUCCAGUGGAGCGGUGAAAUGCGUAGAGAUUGGAAAGAACACCGAUGGCGAAGGCACUUUACUGGGCUAUUACUGACACUCAGAGACGAAAGCUAGGGUAGCAAAUGGGAUUAGAUACCCCAGUAGUCCUAGCCGUAAACAAUGGAUACUAGAUGUUGGGCAGAUCGACCUGUUCAGUAUUAAAGCUAACGCGUUAAGUAUCCCGCCUGGGAAGUAUGCGCGCAAGCGUGAAACUCAAAGGAAUUGACGG